rfam:Bacteroidales bacterium 43_8 Ley3_66761_scaffold_5339, whole genome shotgun sequence.
CCGGAGGAAUCCGAAAAGCCGAUAAAUGAGUAGGAA